AGAGUUUGAUCCUGGCUCAGGAUGAACGCUAGCGGCAGGCUUAAUACAUGCAAGUCGAGGGGCAGCAGCUUUGUAGCAAUACAGAGGCUGGCGACCGGCAAACGGGUGCGGAACACGUACAGAACCUUCCUUCGAGCGGGGAAUAGCCCAGAGAAAUUUGGAUUAAUACCCCAUAGUAUUACGGAGUGGCAUCACUUUGUAAUUAAAGAUUUAUCACUUGAAGAUGGCUGUGCGGCUGAUUAGGUAGUUGGCGGGGUAACGGCCCACCAAGCCUGCGAUCAGUAACUGGUGUGAGAGCACGACCAGUCACACGGGCACUGAGACACGGGCCCGACUCCUACGGGAGGCAGCAGUAAGGAAUAUUGGUCAAUGGACGCAAGUCUGAACCAGCCAUGCCGCGUGGAGGAUGAAGGUCCUCUGGAUUGUAAACUUCUUUUAUCUGGGACGAAAAAGGGCUUUUCUAAGUCAACUGACGGUACCAGAUGAAUAAGCACCGGCUAACUCCGUGCCAGCAGCCGCGGUAAUACGGAGGGUGCAAGCGUUAUCCGGAUUCACUGGGUUUAAAGGGUGCGUAGGUGGGUUGGUAAGUCAGUGGUGAAAUCCCCGAGCUUAACUUGGGAACUGCCAUUGAUACUAUCAGUCUUGAAUACCGUGGAGGUCAGCGGAAUAUGUCAUGUAGCGGUGAAAUGCUUAGAUAUGACAUAGAACACCAAUUGCGAAGGCAGCUGGCUACCCGAAUAUUGACACUGAGGCACGAAAGCGUGGGGGAUCAAACAGGAUUAGAUACCCUGGUAGUCCAC
rnacentral:rRNA from 1 species